AUUGAACGCUGGCGGCAGGCCUAACACAUGCAAGUCGAACGAGCGGCGGACGGGUGAGUAAUGUAUGGGGAUCUGCCCGAUAGAGGGGGAUCACUACGGGAAACUGUGGCUAAUACCGCAUACUAUCGGAUGAACCCAUGUGGGAUUAGCUAGUAGGUGGGGUAAAGGCUCACCUAGGCGACGAUCUCUAGCUGGUCUGAGAGGAUGACCAGCCACACUGGGACUGAGACACGGCCCAGACUCCUACGGGAGGCAGCAGUGGGGAAUAUUGCACAAUGGGCGCAAGCCUGAUGCAGCCAUGCCGCGUGUAUGAAGAAGGCCUUAGGGUUGUAAAGUACUUUCAGCGGGGAGGCGUUACCCGCAGAAGAAGCACCGGCUAACUCCGUGCCAGCCGCCGCGGUAAUUC
rnacentral:rRNA from 1 species